rnacentral:rRNA from 1 species
AUUGAACGCUGGCGGCAGGCCUAACACAUGCAAGUCGAGCGGAUGAAGGGAGCUUGCUCCUGGAUUCAGCGGCGGACGGGUGAGUAAUGCCUAUGAAUCUGCCUGGUAGUGGGGGAUAACGUCCGGAAACGGGCGCUAAUAACGCAUACGUCCUGAGGGAGCAAGUGGGGGAUCUUUGGACCUCACGCUAUCAGAUGAGCCUAGGCCGGAUUAGCUAGUUGGUGGGGUAAAGGCCUACCAAGGCGACGAUCCGUAACUGGUCUGAGUGGAUGAUCAGUCACACGGGAAGGGAGACACGGUCCAGACGCCUAAGAGAGGCAGCAGUGGGGAAUAUUGGACAAUGGGCGAAAGCCUGAUCCAGCCAGGCCGCGUGUGUGAAGAAGGUCUUCGGAGUGGAAAGCACGUUAAGUUGGGAGGAAGGGCAGUAAGUUAAUACCUUGCUGUUUUGACGUUACCGACAGAAUAAGCACCGGCUAACUUCGUG